rnacentral:rRNA from 1 species
ACAAGCGGUGGAGUAUGUGGUUUAAUUUCGAUGCAACGCGAAGAACCUUACCUAGGUUGACAUCCGGAGACCUUCCCGAAAGGAAGGGUGCCCUUCGGGGAAUUCCGAGACAGGUGCUGCAUGGCUGUCGUCAGCCCGUGCCGUGAGGUGUUGGGUUAAGUCCCGCAACGAGCGCAACCCUAUUGCCAGUUGCUACCAGGUAAUGCUGGGCACUCUGGUGAGACUGCCCGGUUAACGGGGAGGAAGGUGGGGACGACGUCAAGUCAUCAUGGCCCUUACGCCUAGGGCUACACACGUACUACAAUGGCGCAUACAAAGGGCAGCGAUACCGCGAGGUGGAGCCAAUCCCAAAAAGUGCGUCCCAGUCCGGAUUGCAGUCUGCAACUCGACUGCAUGAAGUUGGAAUCGCUAGUAAUUCGAGAUCAGCAUGCUCGGGUGAAUGCGUUCCCGGGCCUU